UUUGUUAGCCAAGAGGCUACAUUGAACACUGGCUGCAGUGUGUGAUGACAAAAGGGAAGAAGCAGAAAACCAAUAUAUCACAGGAACAACUGGGCCCAGCGCAACAGAAUGGGUUACCCUCACCCCGACUUCGUAAGACCGCAAUGUGCACGUUUCUCAGCAGAAUGCAUUUAAAAAAACUCAAGUCUCCAGAGCGAACUGGCUUUUUCAACCGGCGGCUGAGGUGACCGUCUGCAGUUGCGGGACUGCGCAGGACAGAAGUCGCAGAGGCAAACUACAGGAAGCCAGGCGACCUGGUGCUAACCGGUGUAAAAAGCAGGCCCGACAAAAGCACAGGAAGAAUUACCCACACAGGCUGCCAAGAAACUGUUCGCUCAUUGAGGCAGGGCGCUUAAGAGCGCUGGGAUGGAGUGCUGCUCAAUGCGCAGGCCGGGAAACUACUAUGCGAACAAAAAGCGUGACUUGCAGGGCGUUUACACUGCAGCCCACAAUUUCAUCAUAUAGAUUCCCAAAGCGCCGCGCUUUCCCCUCCAGUAAGAAACGUAUGGUGAAUGUUUCCUCGAUCGAAGUACUUUGCUUCCCCAAAGAAUUGCCAUGUUCCUGCAUAAAAAAUAAUUUGUAAACAAUAAAGUCAAAGUUCUUUGCGAGAAGGCUAUUGCUGCAUAGCAACUGAACACUUGAGGUGCAAUGAAGCUUGUAUAUUUCCUCUUUAGCUUUAGGGUGGUUUUGUUGCUAUUUUUUUACUUGCAGCUUCUGAAAAAAAAAAAGACAACCAGCUUUCAGUUUUUUCGGAAAAAAAUCUGUUGAGAAGCGUUUAGUGGGCGCAUUGAACGCAUUAGAGGGUCAGCGCUUUGAUUUUCAAUAAGCACUUCAGAGCAUCCACACACGUAGAAUUAAUGUGCGGGCCAUGAGCCAACUGUAUCAGAUUUAAACAAAAGAGAGCUUGUCUGAACUAAAAUAAACUAACAGUUGUCUUCUGGUUAGUACUGUGGUAUAGCAGUCGUUCAAACGUAUAAUCAAAAUAAUUUUCUUAAUUUAAAAUGUUAAAAAAUGACUGAUAUUAAA
rnacentral:lncRNA from 1 species